CACGUAGUUAGCCGGCGCUUCUUCUCCAAAUACCGUCAAAAAUUCGUCUUUGGCGAAAGGAGUUUACAACCCGAAGGCCGUCAUCCCCCACGCGGCGUCGCUGCAUCAGGCUUCCGCCCAUUGUGCAAUAUUCCCCACUGCUGCCUCCCGUAGGAGUCUGGGCCGUAUCUCAGUCCCAAUGUGGCCGUACACCCUCUCAGGCCGGCUACCCGUCGACGCCUUGGUAGGCCAUUACCCCACCAACAAGCUGAUAGGCCGCGAGCUCAUCCCACACCGAAAAACUUUCCACCACAACACCUACGAAGUGGUCCUAUCCGGUAUUAGACCCAGUUUCCCAGGCUUAUCCCGAAGUGCAGGGCAGAUCACCCACGUGUUACUCACCCGUUCGCCACUCGAGUACCCAAGCAAGCUUGGGCCUUUCCGUUCGACUUGCAUGUGUUAAGCACGCCGCCAGCGUUCAUCCUGAGCCAGGACUCAAACUCU
rnacentral:rRNA from 1 species